GACGAACGCUGGCGGCGUGCCUAAUACAUGCAAGUCGAGCGGACAGAUGGGAGCUUGCUCCCUGAUGUUAGCGGCGGACGGGUGAGUAACACGUGGGUAACCUGCCUGUAAGACUGGGAUAACUCCGGGAAACCGGGGCUAAUACCGGAUGGUUGUUUGAACCGCAUGGUUCAGACAUAAAAGGUGGCUUCGGCUACCACUUACAGAUGGACCCGCGGCGCAUUAGCUAGUUGGUGAGGUAACGGCUCACCAAGGCGACGAUGCGUAGCCGACCUGAGAGGGUGAUCGGCCACACUGGGACUGAGACACGGCCCAGACUCCUACGGGAGGCAGCAGUAGGGAAUCUUCCGCAAUGGACGAAAGUCUGACGGAGCAACGCCGCGUGAGUGAUGAAGGUUUUCGGAUCGUAAAGCUCUGUUGUUAGGGAAGAACAAGUGCCGUUCAAAUAGGGCGGCACCUUGACGGUACCUAACCAGAAAGCCACGGCUAACUACGUGCCAGCAGCCGCGGUAAUACGUAGGUGGCAAGCGUUGUCCGGAAUUAUUGGGCGUAAAGGGCUCGCAGGCGGUUUCUUAAGUCUGAUGUGAAAGCCCCCGGCUCAACCGGGGAGGGUCAUUGGAAACUGGGGAACUUGAGUGCAGAAGAGGAGAGUGGAAUUCCACGUGUAGCGGUGAAAUGCGUAGAGAUGUGGAGGAACACCAGUGGCGAAGGCGACUCUCUGGUCUGUAACUGACGCUGAGGAGCGAAAGCGUGGGGAGCGAACAGGAUUAGAUACCCUGGUAGUCCACGCCGUAAACGAUGAGUGCUAAGUGUUAGGGGGUUUCCGCCCCUUAGUGCUGUAGCUAACGCAUUAAGCACUCCGCCUGGGGAGUACGGUCGCAAGACUGAAACUCAAAGGAAUUGACGGGGGCCCGCACAAGCGGUGGAGCAUGUGGUUUAAUUCGAAGCAACGCGAAGAACCUUACCAGGUCUUGACAUCCUCUGACAAUCCUAGAGAUAGGACGUCCCCUUCGGGGGCAGAGUGACAGGUGGUGCAUGGUUGUCGUCAGCUCGUGUCGUGAGAUGUUGGGUUAAGUCCCGCAACGAGCGCAACCCUUGAUCUUAGUUGCCAGCAUUCAGUUGGGCACUCUAAGGUGACUGCCGGUGACAAACCGGAGGAAGGUGGGGAUGACGUCAAAUCAUCAUGCCCCUUAUGACCUGGGCUACACACGUGCUACAAUGGACAGAACAAAGGGCAGCGAAACCGCGAGGUUAAGCCAAUCCCACAAAUCUGUUCUCAGUUCGGAUCGCAGUCUGCAACUCGACUGCGUGAAGCUGGAAUCGCUAGUAAUCGCGGAUCAGCAUGCCGCGGUGAAUACGUCCCCGGGCCUUGUACACACCGCCCGUCACACCACGAGAGUUUGUAACACCCGAAGUCGGUGAGGUAACCUUUUAGGAGCCAGCCGCCGAAGGUGGGACAGAUGAUUGGGGUG
rnacentral:rRNA from 1 species